AAAAUAUGUAUUUGCCCAAGAGUAAAUAUACACUUCCUCAAGUGUAUAUUUAAAAUAUCUGUCAAAGAUAUUUUGUGUAUAUUUUAAAAUAUAUGCUCCAACUAUAACUUUUUUAAAUUCACUUAACGCUUACUUUAAAUUAUUAAUUUCAGUAUGUUAAAUUACGUCUCAGUGUAUACUUUAGGCUAAUAAAGUAUGCCUUUUAAGGUGCCUUAAUAAUCUUUUACUAUUUUUCUUAAAAUGGCAAAGAAUUAAAAAAAAUCCUUAUAGUAGAACUUGAUGUAAUGUUGUUUAACAAAGUAAUGUGUUCAUACCAAAAUAUCAAACAUUGACCCUUUAGUGACAAAAGUGCUACAACAAAAACAAUACUUGUCCUUAACACUAAAUGUAGCAGGUAUCUUCUACAUCUCUCCGAAUAUGAUCUGUUGUUUCCAGUUUUUUAACUAAAACACGGAAGCUGUUUUUACUCAGUCCAUGUUCAGAUGUGUGAUGUAAGAUCUAUUAUUGAACGGCAUUAGCUGCAGUUCACACUCCAGACCAGAUGGUGGCGGUAUUGCACACCUUCAGUUUUUUUGAAAAGCGCCAUAAAAUGAAGGGAAGCCAGAGAAGAUAACAAGUGCUGUUCAAAUUUGCCAUUUUUACUCGCAUAAUAUUGCCUUAAAAGUAGAGAGGGCUUUGAUAAUAGUUAGUAGUUUUGGUAAAUUCAAGCUGGUGACGUCAUAGUCCGAGUUAGACGACAACACAACAGGACAAGAACCGAUGGAAAUGAAAUGUGGGUCACGAAAAGAGCCCGAAGGGACGAAGGCUGCUAACGUGCUGCUAGCUGGUGGUAAGUUUGCUUAUUAAUUGUUUUUUAUUUAAUUAUAAACAGUGCAGUAAAUAUAUAAACAAACUUACGUUGGUUUCAGAAAUAAUUAUUUUAUCAAUUUUAUUGUGACUUUUAUGAUUAUUACUAUAACAAUCAUUCAGCUUCAUAUUGUAACUGCAUGGAGGCUCUGUGUGUUGCGACUUAAUAUAGUUUUCUUCACCUGGUUUUAAUUAAGCUCAGUUUGCCAAAGAGACUUUGAUAUUGUGAGGCUGUUGUUAUAACUCGUUCAUCAUUGUUUGUAUCUUCGACAUAUUUUUGUAGUCUAAGCAAAUUAAGAUGAAAAAGGAAGCCAGAGAUCAGGAUUUAGAAAACCUAAAGACUUUUCUGUCUCAGAAGAGGCUCUGGCUCCAUCAGAUCACCAACCAGUUCUGAGGAUGAAGCUCCACAUCGUCUUCAUGGUGGCCUGUGAUGGACUGGUGACCUGUCCAGGGUGAACCCCGCCUCUCAUCUGUUGACUGCUGGAGACGGGCACCACCAGCCCCCCUCACCACCCUGCAAGGAUCAACGUGUUCAAAUCAUGGAUGGAAAAAUUUUAAGGCAAAGAAGACACCCAGAAAUGUUUUUCCGCCCCAGGCAUCCGGUCCCAAUCAUCAUCAGCUCUGAUGAUGCCGCAUACACAGCGAGUCCACAACGUCUUAAAAUUCUAAGUUAUACUUUUUUCUUUGCCAUUUUUCUUUACUCUUUAAAAUACAAGUGCUUUCUGUGUUUAAUUGCUCUAUUGUUCUUUUUUGUAGGUUUCUGUAAAGUGCAGUGAACAGGAAUGUUCUGUCGUUGAUCCUCACUGAUCUUAGGAAGCAGAAAUGUCAGUUUGUCUGGAGUAAUACUGUGAUACUGAAUUAAAACAAGACUCUGUCCUUGGUGAAAUAUUUUUCACAUUUCCUCUAAAAUGUACCUAUUGUUCCAUUGUGCUAAUUUCCAUAAGCAUGUUGUCUGGAAACUUUGAAUGUAUUGACAAUUUGUACAAUUCUGUGAUAGUAUAUUGGCAGUGUACUCUUGAAGAAUGUGGGUAAGACUUUAUUUGACAGGCUGUGCAUAAGACUGACAUCAUACUGUCAUAAACAUGACACCUGUUAGGAACAUACUAACAGUGUCAUUCAGUAAAUAAUGACACUUUUAAUGAGAAGUUGUUUAAAAGUUGGAUGACAGGUGUUAUAUCAUGUUUAUAACAGUGUCAUAUCAGUCUUAUGCACACCUUAUCAAAUAAAGUGUUACUAUAAUGGUAAUAUAUUGAAAGCACAAUGUAAUUCAUUUCACCUGUAAAGUGUGUUAUAAUUGACCCUUCUGUGUUCUGGUAGCCUGAUGUGUUUGCAGUACUGUAGUGUGUAUGAAGCAUGUAAUGUACAAAGUGGCAAAGCAGAAUAAUAAAAUACAUUAAGUAACUAAAAAGUGUACUUCAUUAGCAAUUAUAAUAAACCAAAAGUGUAGUUGUAGUAUACUCUAAUCACACUACUAAUAUAUAAAAUAUGGAAUGCCAAUAUACUGAAAAUACAUUCUAAGUAUAUUUUAAAUGUAAUUCAAUCACAAAAAUAUUACACUCAGAAUAUACUAAUCAAACACGUUUAUA